UUCAUUACACGUGGGUCAUAGGUGUCCUCCAUGCCCACUUCCGUCCCUUUUAUCAAAAUCCAUUCAAUCUACCAAAGCUCAAAGCUUUCUUCAUCUUCAACUUUCUCACACUCACACGUUGCUGCAAUUCUAAGGUAUUUGUUUGUUAUUUUUUUCACUGUUAUGUUAUUUGGUUGAAUGGAUGCUAAAGUUUCAUAUUUUUUUCUUCAGUUUUUCGUAUUUCGUUGAAUGGGUGUACGAAGUUUUGAUGUUAAUGAAGAAUACGAAUAUACGGGUGAAAAGAGCUGCAGUAAGCAAAGGAGAAAAAGAAGAUAGGGUUCCUAUUUAUGUAUUUGAAGUUUUAUUAUAUAGGUUUACAAAGUUUUCAUUUUUAUGUUGGUCAAAAUUCAAAGAGAAUCAAAAUUAGGGCAAAAUUAAACUUACAAAUUUGCCAAAAAUUUCAGUACUCAGAUGAAAAAGACUAGCAAAACUAAGAGCAACCCUUGAAAUCUAGAGAGGAGAGUAACUAGCAAGGAAUCUGUAUGUUGUGGGAUUAGAAGAGAAUCACUCUUCUAAAAUAUUAACAAUCUCCCUUCGGGGUGGCCCAGUGGUUUGAGCUUGGGACUUCCAUGUUGGAGGUCUCAAGUUCGAAACCCCUUGCCAGCGAAAGCAGGGGAUUUGCCUUCUGGGUCGAGCUCGUCGCACCAGGCUUGCCUAGUGCGGGUUACCUCUCCUAUGUGGUUUGAGAGCUAUUGCAUAGGAGCGGGGGUUUUACCCUGUGCGCACCCAAAAGGGUAGCGGCUGCGGGUUUCCCUUGUCAUAAAAAAAAAAUAAAAAAAUAUUAUCAAGCUAAAUUUCAUGCCUAUAAAUUGCCUAAAGAACCGCAUAUCUUAAUGUUUGCAUUCAGUACUCUUAGUCAAUUUGUCUUCAAUCAAUGUUUGGAAUUUCAAAUGCGUGGAAACAUAACUAAGUAAUUAAAUAUGUGUUCUCUCUAACAACUUAAGCUUUAGAUGAGAUGAUCACACGCUACAUCAUGGUAUCGAAGUAGACAAGAGGUCAUGGAUUCCAGUCUCCCCGUCACCCAUUAUUAUCAAAAAAUAAUUUCCAUGAACUUGGACCAUGAAAAAGGUCCGCAGAUGACUGAUGUUUUGAAGCAUAAUUAAGUAAUUAAAUGUCUCUCUCUGACAGCAUAGGCUUUAAUUAGGUGAGAUGGUCACACAUUAAAACAAAAUGUAAUUGCUUAUUGUGUGUUUCUGCAUAAUGCUGCAUUGCAGUGUGUUCUUUUAUCGUUCUAAUUUAACUUUUGCAUGUGUGUACCUGUAUUGUUGUUUUAUUAAAGCUUUUUUGGCAAGUUAUUGAAUGUCGAGAGAAAUAAAAUAUUUUUUUGCAGGGAUCGAAGUGGAAAUAAGAGUUCGAGCAUUUAUCUUUGCUCUCUUCUAUCAUUUGGUGGAAAGAGGAUGGUAGGGAAAAAAUAUUUUCACUCUAUUUUUAGCUCUUAUCGAAUUUGUAGAUUUCUGAAGUGCUUCGUUCACACGUGUUAAAGUAUAUGUUAGGUCUCUGAAUUACAACUUGAUGAUGGCUAUGUUUUCUCCUUAACUUGAGUUUCCUUUUUACAGUAAGAGACUAUUAGUCACUUGCCCAUUGGUUUUAUGUGUUUCACCGCAACAAAGCAUCUGGAAAUUUCUCUAUCAUCAUCUUUAUUUCUGUUUGCCCUGCAAUUCUAGUCAGUUUCUUCAUUUUUUUCUCUGUCGAAUGUACAAUUUUCUUUAUUCUUUGCUCAUCACUGUACAAGACUGUUGGUAAUGAGUAUUUGUUAGUAUUUCCACCCCAAUUUAUUCAUGCAUACUUAGUAUUUUUCUGAUUACUCAUUUAGUCUGAUUUUUACUUGUUGGAGUUCUAAACUCCAUUCUUCUCUCUUGAGCCAAUUAUACUUUCUCUUAUCACAUUCAAUCAUUUAAGACACUCUAAAUUCUGAUAUACUGCUUUCUUGAGUGUUUUAUGUUGCCACUUUUUGCAAGCUUAUUGCGUCAAAUUUGUUUCAUUUUUAUGAGAUAAGCUGUUAUUAGUUUGUAGAUAUGGAGCCUCCUAAAAUGAUCUACUAAAUUCAUCGAGUUGUCCCAAGGGAUCAAAACAGACAAUUAUUAAUGGAAUUCUUCUCCGCUAUUAGGUUUCAUUACUUUAGUUUGCUUUGCAACUCUUUUUCUAUUAUGAUUACUCAAAGAAAAUUAAGUAUCAAUAUGUUACCCUUUCCUGUUGCUUCUAUUGUUCGGAAUCCUCAAGUUUGUUGUAUUAUUUUUUUGCGGAUUGCCAUAUCCUAGACUACAAUGUGUGUUCUUGACUAUUAGUAGUUGAUUUAAAAAAAAUUAUAAUUACCUCAAGGUCUUUGUUGAUUUUUUGUACAGAUGGAGUUUCCCAAAGGAAAACCCUUUUGGAUAGCCUCAAAGCUCUUGUGUAAAUCCCUCAAAUGACUCCAUUAUUGAUAUUGGUAUUGAUAUUUAUUAAUUCUGAGUCAAUCAUACAUGGGUCGUUCAUGUGUGCAGUUUUUCUUUCAUCCCCUCCUUAACUCUUAAUUUCAAAAUUUUCAUCCAUUUACUAGAACAUGGUUCCGGACCUUUCUGCUUGGCCCUCUUUCAAUUUGGAUCAUUCAAAUUUGUGAUUUAUGUUAAUGGCGGUCUUCAUGUAUUAUGUUCUGUUUGGAUAGAGUCAGGGCCUCUAUCUAAUAUAUUAGUGUGUAUUAUGUUUAUAAAUGUGUACUUUCUUUCCUCAUAUAAUUUAUUCCUCUCAUUUGUUUGUUUAUAGAUGUGUACUUUCUUUUCUCCAUCAUUUAUUCAUCUAAUAUGUUUUACCAGAAAUUUUAGCUAUUACCUUGGGUCCUUUGCACCAGUUUUUUUAAAAAGUUGGGUUGAAGAAUGAUGUCCAACCCUUUAAAAAGGUACAUAGCACAUCCAGUCCCACACUAUUGCUAUUAUAAUAUUGCUACUGUACUCUACAUCCAUUGCUAAGACGUUUUCUCCUAUUCCAACAGGAAAUCUCAACAUCUAUUUUGUCAAUCAUGCAUCACAAAGUUGCAACGAUAAUUAAGAAAAUCAAGAUGACUACCACCAAAGUAGUAAUGGGAUGCUUUACUAUUUCACCUUUAGGGAUAUCAACUUCUAUAAAUAUGUAAAUAUAGACUCUGCAUUUGCUAUUUCACAUUUUGCAAUAUCACCUUUUGUAAAUAUGUAAAUACAUAUAUAAACUGUGCAAUCAUAAGCGCAAUGCAUAUAGAAUGUGUGUAGUCGUUUACCAUGAAAUGUUCUUCAACAACUACUUUGUUCUGAUUUUUUUAGCUGUUUCCUUACAAGUAUUUUCGAACUAUUGUUGGCGUCAUAUAUAUUGGGCCCGUG
rnacentral:lncRNA from 1 species